UACGUAGGGUGCGAGCGUUGUCCGGAAUUUAUUGGGCGUAAAGAGCUUGUAGGCGGUUUUGUCGCGUCUGCUGUGAAAUCUCAAGGCUCAACCUUGAGCUUGCAGUGGGUACGGGGCAGACUAGAGUGUGGUAGGGGAGACUGGAAUUCCUGGUGUAGCGGUGAAAUGCGCAGAUAUCAGGAGGAACACCGAUGGCGAAGGCAGGUCUCUGGGC
rnacentral:rRNA from 1 species